CUCAAAGGUGGAGGCCCCCAACUUCUACUCCUACUCCCAGACCUCUGGCCACCUCUGAACUUCUCAUGAAAGUUCCCUUUCCCCAGGAAAAAGGAAAAGUAUCUUCUAGGAGCCUAGGAAGGCUGAAGCCAGAGACUUAUUUUUCUUCCCAGGCCAUGAGGGUUAAUUCCUCCUUUUUACAGUUCUGAGAAAUCAAAGAAAUCAAAGCUUGGCCUCAUUCUCACCAAAAGAAAAGAACCCUUGCUAGGUUUUGACAAAAAGGAGACUAUUACAACAGGAAUGGAAUAAGUACUAUAAUCAAGAAACUCUCCAUAGGCUUCCCUGGCAUGCACAGGUAUUCUUUAUCUUAAUUCAUUCAGCAUUUACUAUAGGCCAGUGCAGGGGGCAGGAAAUUUUCCUCUACCUUUCUGGGUUCUUGGCUGAAAUGGCCCUGUAAUGAAAAGACAGAUUAACUGGGGAAAAAACCUAAUUUAGUUACAAUUCAUACCUAUGGGAGCCCCACAAAAACAUGAGACAGGAAGAAGUGACCAGAUUUGUGAAGAAUUGACUAGACAAGGGGGCUUGGGACAAGGGUAGUAAUAUGGUGAAGAAAUAACAAGGUUUGUUUAUACAGCCUCU
rnacentral:lncRNA from 1 species